UUUUUUCCUUGUCUGUCCCGCUGCUACUAGCUGUAACCGGUAAUGGCUGUAUCAGUUUGUAUCUUUUUAUUAGUAAGGGCAUAAGUAUAAUAUCAGAAUACGGAUACUAUUGUGUUAUUUAUACAACUAUUUUUGUUAAUGAUUAUGAUAUUUUAUACGUAAAGAAAUUUAAAUGGAGGCAAAAUGAUUGCUAUCAGUAAUUAAAGUAGAUGGUUGUUGUUCAAGCUAUCCUAGAUGGUUCAGACAAAUGAUAUAGUAGUAAAUUGUACGAAUUAUUUAUAAUUUUAUAUUAACACCCUUAUGAUCCUAAUGAGUGUUAAAUGUGCCACUAGAAUAAGUUAUAUUGUUAUUAUACGCAUUUUCACUGACUGGCACACCACUAACGUAUAGCAAACAGCGCAAU